rnacentral:rRNA from 1 species
UACGUAGGGUGCAAGCGUUGUCCGGAAUUAUUGGGCGUAAAGAGCUCGUAGGCGGUCUGUCGCGUCUGCUGUGAAAAUCAGGGCUCAACCCUGGACCUGCAGUGGGUACGGGCAGACUAGAGUGCGGUAGGGGAGAUCGGAAUUCCUGGUGUAGCGGUGAAAUGCGCAGAUAUCAGGAGGAACACCAAUGGCGAAGGCAGCUCGCUGGGACGUGACUGACGCUGAGACGCGAAAGCGUGGGGAGCGAACAGG